UCUAUUGCAACAAGCGAAAAAAUAUGCAGCUGGAGAAAUAAAAGAUAUUAUAGAUUCAGAAACAGAUGACACAACUAAUUGCAGCACUGCAAGUAAUUUAGAUAUGAGUGAAACUUCAGAUACGAAAGAUCAACAUAUAUGGACUCGUGCUGAAACACUGUUACUUAUUACUUUAUAUAAAGAACACGAAGAAAUGUUCAAUAAUCCUAAGAUGUCUGCGAAACAGUGUUGGAAUAAUAUUUCCAAGAAAAUGAAAGAUGCAGGAUAUCAUAUAUCUGGAAUUAAAUGGUACUACUAAAUUCCAGUGUUUAAAAAGAACAUAUAAAUCUGUUACUGAUCAUAUUAAAAAAUCAGGAAAUAAUAGGAGGAAAUGGGAAUAUUAUGAGGUUAUGCAUGAGAUAUUUGGAACAAAACCUUCCCUUACGAAAAGGAACUAUUGCCGGCCGUGUGAUUAUUACACGCGGCUGUGUGAUUAUUACUGAUGGCUCUGUAAUUAUCAAGACGAAUAUUAUUGCCUCUAUAAUAAUUACUAGCAACGGAAUACAGACGAAUAUUACUCGCCUGUUGGGUAUCACUAGAAAGAUCACUGCAUAUGUAAUAACUACUGAGGGUACAAAUUACACGCAAAUAUUACUGGAUGUCGCUCAUGAUUAAUUCUAUUAUAUAAUAUAAGCAGAAAUAU